rnacentral:rRNA from 1 species
GAUGAACGCUGGCGGCGUGCCUAAUACAUGCAAGUCGAGCGAACAGAUAAGGAGCUUGCUCCUUUGACGUUAGCGGCGGACGGGUGAGUAACACGUGGGUAACCUACCUAUAAGACUGGGAUAACUUCGGGAAACCGGAGCUAAUACCGGAUAACAUUUGGAACCGCAUGGUUCUAAAGUGAAAGAUGGUUUUGCUAUCACUUAUAGAUGGACCCGCGCCGUAUUAGCUAGUUGGUAAGGUAACGGCUUACCAAGGCAACGAUACGUAGCCGACAUGAGAGGGUGAUCGGCCAAACUGGAACUGAGACACGGGAAAGAGUACUAAGGGAGGAAGCAGUAGGGAAGAUUCCGCAAUGGGCGAAAGCCUGACGGAGCAACGCCGCGUGAGUGAUGAAGGGGUUCGGCUCGUAAAACUCUGUUAUUAGGGAAGAACAAAAGUGUAAGUAACUGUGCACGUCUUGACGGUACCUAAUCAGAAAGCAACGGCUAACUACGUG